rnacentral:tRNA from 1 species
GCAUCUGCUGGUGCACGGGGGCGGCGCACCGGCGCUGCUGCCGCUGCUCGGCGAUGCCGAGUUCCAGCCCUCGCUGGUGCU